GGGCUGGUGGCGCAGUGGUAGCGCGCGCUCAUUCUAUCAGACGUGAAGGCGUUCCUGGAGCGCUCGGGGGGGACUGGUAACCCUGGCAGGUCCAUAAAUACCCGAUUGGCAUUACGUCCAACUUGAGCGAGGUCGAUGGUUCGAAUCCAUUCCUGGUCCA
rnacentral:tRNA from 1 species